ACAUGCUAGACAAGAUUUUCAAUAUAUUUUAAUUUAAUCAUGAACUUCCCAAAACAAAUCUUGGGAAGAAAUCUCUUUGAAAUAAAUUAUGGCUUAUGAAUCUGGUCCUAAAGAUUUCUUUUGGAAAUCUAUAUACAUCCAUUCAAAACACGACAACAUCUAUACUAUUGGAAUCGUUCAAAUAAAAAUCAAAUUGUAGUAAGAUUUCAAAUAGUCCACAUACAUGAGAAAGUGGAAGGGGCAGAAAAUGAUUAAGGGGGUUACUGCUAUUCCAAUAACUACUUAUGUAUUUGUGUCUUUGGGGAGAGGUGACAGAAGUGGCCCUCUAUCUCUGUGCUCUUGUCACCUGGGUCCCCAAAGUAGCAUUGCUUCAACCCAGAAUGAACAAAAUCUCUAGAGAAAAAUUCUCCUUCAGCUUUUGGUCUUCACUCUUCUAAUUUCUGGGCCUCAAGUUUAGUUCUAGGAGCCAGAGGACAGAAGGGAAGUCAUUUCUUUCACUGUCUCCUACACCCACUGUUUUAUUUUAAAAGGGAGAAUUGGUAUCAAGACUAUAUGAUUAUCUGCAUCCAGUAUGGUACCAGCGCCGAUUGUGAUGCUCCAGUGUGAGGCUUUGGUGAUGUGUCCAUGCGUCCUCCAGGAGGCAUUCCCCGGUGUGGGCUCAUUUCUGUGUGUGUAGCUAUGGUGUGUCCCCCAAGUGCGUCUGGGUCCCACACAGACUCGAGCCGGAUACGAGGUCCCGGGCGGGACGCGUUAGGACAUUAGCGUCCGCGGCGGGGCGCCCCAGGUGUGCACGGCGGCGUGGUUCCCGGCGCGUGCCCAGGUGUGGGCGAGGUCGGAGCGGGCGGGUACCGCGUCCCGCCUCCAGGGGGCGCCGCCGGGGGCGGCCUCCUGGGGCGGCGGCGCCAGUCUCGCCGGGGAUUUCCGCUCGCUGCCUGGUCCUCUCUCCCCGACGGCGCCGCGCUCUGCGGCAGGACUGAGAGAAGGACACCUGGUUCAUGGGCUACUGGUCACACUGUGAGGUGGGGAUACUUAUCCCGGCGUCCCAUUAGGAAGGAUUCUGAAGUCAAAAGCUUUGUAGGCUCUCACACUUACUAUGGUGCUGGACUCCAAGGUGACCGGGUUUUGAAGAAACAAGUCUACGGGGAUGAGUUUCUUCCUGAAGGAUCUGUGUUUGUUCAAAACACAAUCAGAAAGGUAAUGAUGUUUUUCUUAUGAAAGGAGCCAGAAAUGCAAAAUGUUAAUUCUUUUUUUUCCCCCCCCCCCCCUUACAUAAGUAGUAAAGGAUACAAGAGAUGAAAUGUAGACUAUUAUAAUUUGGUCAUUCUAGCUAGCUACAUUUUUUCCUAGUAAAGAAGUUUUUUAUUGCUAGGUUUUCUUUUAUGGGAAAAAGCUAUCUUCUGUAGAAGAAAGCUACUGGACUGAUUUUCCACAGAGUCGAAGUUAACAACCUGUGGCCUAACCAUGAUCAUUUCUAUGUAACAGCACCUUCCCAGGGAUUCUUGGCUCUGAAAACUCAUCAACGCCCAACCAGUAAUUGAUAUGGCGUGAUUCCCUCUCCCAUUUAUUAUGUAGAAUAUUCAUUUUUAUUUUUUUAAGAGGCUUCAUUGAGAAGAAUAUAAGCCAGUAG
ensembl:lncRNA